rnacentral:lncRNA from 1 species
UUAUGAUUUCUGCAUGGUUUACCAAAUACUCCUUGACUUAAAAAUAAGCUUUGGAUUUAUGCUAGCUCAGUUCCAGUAAUAUAUGAAAAUAUUUCUCCUAUAUAGCUCUAUUUCACUUUGUAAUAUUGUUACACAUAUGACAUCCACUAAUGUUAGAAAUCCCACCAUACGUUGUUAUAGCUAUUACUUUUCCAUCUGUCAUCAUUUCCUUAGAACAUUACAGCUUUGCUCCCACCCACCUCUCUUGUACUAUUUUGGCACAUAUACAUAUAUUAUAUUGUUCAGAAAUACGUAAUCUAUAUAUUAUAUGCUUUCUUUUAAAAUAAAAAAAUGAGAAAAGAUACACUUACAGUGUCGUCUAUAGUUUAAAUAAUUACCUUUUUAAUUGGUGUUCUUUGUUCACUUACAUGGUUCCUAAUUAUGAGGUUACUUUUGCUUUUGGCCUGAAGAACGUUUUUAGUAUUUUCUGUAAGGUAGGAGUGCUGGCUACAAAUUCUCUCAGCUUUUUCUUUUCUGAGAAAGUCUCUAUUUGCUUUUAUUUUUGAGAGAGUGUUUUGCUGGCUAUAGGAGUCUAAGAGUCUUUGUUUCAUUUGCUCCCUUUGAGCACUAUGAAUCUGUUAUUCCACUGCCUUCUGUCCAUUGUUUCUGUUGAGAAAUUCACUGAAUACCGCACUGGGUUGAUCUGUAAGUGGACACAUUAUCUUCCGCUUCAUUUGAAGAUUUUUCUCCUUGUGUUUGAUUUUCAGCGUUUUAAUAUGAUGUGUGUGUUUGUGGAUUUUUUUGUUUAUAUCGCUUGGAGUUCAUUGAGCUUCAUGGAUGUGUUUGCCCUCUCCUAACCAAUUGACAAACUUCUGAUUACCAUUAUGAGAUCCAGAUGUCAAUCCUGAAACACUGAUUGCCUGCCACAGAGGAUUAGAUUACCCCAGCAUGUCUCUCCAGUAUGUGCUUAUGUACAUCUAUAUAUAUAUUAUUUUACCUUGAUAUUCCUGUUGUUUUGAGUUCUACAGCCUCUUUUAGACAGUGAGCACUCAUAAUGCUGGCUUUGAGGUUCUGUUACUGCACAGUAAAUAUUUGAUGAGUUAAAGGAUGAAGAUAUGAAAGAAUAUCUUAUUGAACAGAAAUCAAGGAGAUGUUGGAGACAGGUAUAAGCUGCCCAAAGCACAGUUCACAUUAAGGUCUUCUCAUAGGAGGAAAAAAUUCCAGUUCCUUCAAUUUCUAGGAGAUAAAACGUUUUCAUAGAAACUUAGUGCUAAUUCUGGGAACAAAAAAUCUAUUUAGGUCAGUAGAGAGCAGUAAGUUUGAGAGCAUUUGGAAGUAAGCAGACAGAUUUUUAGUUCUCACUUUGCCAAUAAGCUUUGUACAUAGACUUCUGGUUCUGAUCUGUUAAGGGUAAGAA